rnacentral:rRNA from 1 species
GACGAACGCUGGCGGCGUGCUUAACACAUGCAAGUCGAACGGAAAGGCCCUGCUUUUGUGGGGUGCUCGAGUGGCGAACGGGUGAGUAACACGUGAGUAACCUGCCCUUGACUUUGGGAUAACUUCAGGAAACUGGGGCUAAUACCGGAUAGGAGCUCCUGCUGCAUGGUGGGGGUUGGAAAGUUUCGGCGGUUGGGGAUGGACUCGCGGCUUAUCAGCUUGUUGGUGGGGUAGUGGCUUACCAAGGCUUUGACGGGUAGCCGGCCUGAGAGGGUGACCGGCCACAUUGGGACUGAGAUACGGCCCAGACUCCUACGGGAGGCAGCAGUGGGGAAUAUUGCACAAUGGGCGGAAGCCUGAUGCAGCAACGCCGCGUGCGGGAUGACGGCCUUCGGGUUGUAAACCGCUUUCGCCUGUGACGAAGCGUGAGUGACGGUAAUGGGUAAAGAAGCACCGGCUAACUACGUGCCAGCAGCCGCGGUGAUACGUAGGGUGCGAGCGUUGUCCGGAUUUAUUGGGCGUAAAGGGCUCGUAGGUGGUUGAUCGCGUCGGAAGUGUAAUCUUGGGGCUUAACCCUGAGCGUGCUUUCGAUACGGGUUGACUUGAGGAAGGUAGGGGAGAAUGGAAUUCCUGGUGGAGCGGUGGAAUGCGCAGAUAUCAGGAGGAACACCAGUGGCGAAGGCGGUUCUCUGGGCCUCUCCUGACGCUGAGGAGCGAAAGCGUGGGGAGCGAACAGGCUUAGAUACCCUGGUAGUCCACGCUGUAAACGGUGGGUACUAGGUGUGGGGUCCAUUCCACGGGUUCCGUGCCGUAGCUAACGCUUUAAGUACCCCGCCUGGGGAGUACGGCCGCAAGGCUAAAGCUCAAAGGAAUUGACGGGGCCCCGCACAAGCGGCGGAGCAUGCGGAUUAAUUCGAUGCAACGCGUAGAACCUUACCUGGGUUUGACAUGGAUCGGGAGUGCUCAGAGAUGGGUGUGCCUCUUUUGGGGUCGGUUCACAGGUGGUGCAUGGCUGUCGUCAGCUCGUGUCGUGAGAUGUUGGGUUAAGUCCCGCAACGAGCGCAACCCUUGUUCACUGUUGCCAGCACGUUAUGGUGGGGACUCAGUGGAGACCGCCGGGGUCAACUCGGAGGAAGGUGGGGAUGACGUCAAGUCAUCAUGCCCCUUAUGUCCAGGGCUUCACGCAUGCUACAAUGGCUGGUACAGAGAGUGGCGAGCCUGUGAGGGUGAGCGAAUCUCGGAAAGCCGGUCUCAGUUCGGAUUGGGGUCUGCAACUCGACCUCAUGAAGUCGGAGUCGCUAGUAAUCGCAGAUCAGCAACGCUGCGGUGAAUACGUUCCCGGG